ensembl:lncRNA
GGUACAACUGGAGAUCCAGGUCCAAAAGGCUUUCCAGGUGUCACAGUAAGAUAUCUGAUUCAAAUCUCACCAUAUGUUUAUUUGACAUUUUAGUUAAUAUUUGCAAAUGUAUGUCUUUUAUCAUGUAUAACCUCAAUAAUUAAUCCCUCUAAAUUCAGGGAAGUAGGGGACCAGAUGGAGAGAAGGGUGACAGAGGACCCAAGGGGAAAAAAGGACCAAAAGGAGCAUUAGGGAUCAUGGGUCCACAGGGUGAAAGGGGCCAGUCAGGCCUCCCCGGUUUACCUGGUGUCAAAGGUCAGCCAGGUGCUCCAGGUGUCCAGGGUAUAAAUGGUGAAGUAGGUCCUCAGGGAACACUUGGAAAAGAGGGUCAAAAGGGCAGCAGGGGUGAACCUGGUGGAAAUGGAAGAACAGGACUCAGAGGAUCCAAAGUAAAUUUGCUAUUUGUUUCAUAUAAAAAUCUGAAAAAUCCUGAGACCAACAGUGAAAAUGCAUCUACUGUACCUGCAAAUACAUCUAAAUUCCAUGUAUCAUUUAAAAACUAUAUUACUAUAAUAACAGUUUAA